rnacentral:rRNA from 1 species
GUAAAGCGUGCGUAGGCGGCUUUUUAAGUCGGAUGUGAAAUCCCCGAGCUUAACUUGGGAAUUGCAUUCGAUACUGGGAAGCUAGAGUAUGGGAGAGGAUGGUAGAAUUCCAGGUGUAGCGGUGAAAUGCGUAGAGAUCUGGAGGAAUACCGAUGGCGAAGGCAGCCAUCUGGCCUAAUACUGACGCUGAGGUACGAAAGCAUGGGGAGCAAACAGGAUUAGAUACCCGU